UACGUAGGGUGCAAGCGUUAAUCGGAAUUACUGGGCGUAAAGCGUGCGCAGGCGGUUUUGUAAGUUUGUCGUGAAAGCCCCGGGCUUAACCUGGGAACUGCGUUUGAAACUACAAGGCUAGAGUGUGGCAGGAGGGGGGUGGGAAUUCCACGUGUAGCAGUGAAAUGCGUAGAGAUGUGGAGGAACACCGAUGGGCGAAGGCAGCCCCCCUGGGGUUAACACUGACGCUCAGGCACGAAAGGCGUGGGGGAGCAAACAGG
rnacentral:rRNA from 1 species